GAUGAAGAACGCAGUGAAAUGCGAUAAGUAAUGUGAAUUGCAGAAUUCAGUGAAUCAUCGAAUCUUUGAACGCACAUUGCGCCCCCUGGUAUUCCGGGGGGCAUGCCUGUUCGAGCGUCAUUACAACCCUCAAGCUCUGCUUGGUAUUGGGCCCCGCCAGUUCUGGCGGGCCCUAAAGUCAGUGGCGGUGCCUUCCGGCUCCGAGCGUAGUAAUUCUUCUCGCUCUGGAGACCCGGUUGUGUGCUUGCCAACAACCCCCAAUUUUUUAAGGUUGACCUCGGAUCAGGUAGGGAUACCCGCUGAACUUAAGCAUAUCAAUAAGCGGAGGA
rnacentral:misc_RNA from 1 species